AUUGAACGCUGGCGGCAGGCCUAACACAUGCAAGUCGAGCGGAUGAAGGGAGCUUGCUCCUGGAUUCAGCGGCGGACGGGUGAGUAAUGCCUAGGAAUCUGCCUGGUAGUGGUGGAUAACGUCCGGAAACGGGCGCUAAUACCGCAUACGUCCUGAGGGGGAAAGUGGGGGAUCUUCGGACCUCACGCUAUCAGAGGAGCCUAGGUCGGAUUAGCUAGUUGGUGGGGUAAAGACCUACCAAGGCGACGAUCCGUAACUGGUCUGAGAGGAUGAUCAGUCACACUGGAACUGAGACAGGGUCCAGACGACUACGGGAGGCAGCAGUGGGGAAUAUUGGACAAUGGGCGAAAGCCUGGUCCAGCCAUGCCGAGUGUGUGAAGAAGGUCUUCGGAUUGUAAAGCACUUUAAGUUGGGAGGAAGGGCAGUAAGUUAAUACCUUGCUGUUUUGACGUUACCAACAGAAUAAGCACCGGCUAACUUCGUG
rnacentral:rRNA from 1 species